UAGGGUUUCCAAGAUUCAGCUUCUUCUCCAAGCUUCCUCUCUCAAUCUCAAACGUCUGAUAAGCUCCGACUCAAAUGGCUUUUUGAAGGAAUUUGUAAAAGCCUCUUCAAGUUUCGUCACUAAUUCGAUCCUUCACUCGCGAUCUAGGGUUUUGCUCCAAAAACCCCUUUCUCUCAUCCAAUCCAUCUACUUAUUCUUCUUCAAUCAACAGGUGACUGAUUGUUGGUUCGUAUGUGACGUGGAGAUGCCUGUGGAUGUGAGACGAACGAUGCUAAAGGCAACAGAAGGUAAUGAAGAAAAAGAGUAAAAAGGGGGAAGAUGAAUUAUUGCAAGGACUGUGGAGCUUUGUUUAGAAACCCACGCACCAGAAGAAGCAUAUGAAAAGCUAUUCAUUGCAAUUUCAUCUAAAUGUUAUAAGGAUCCAGAAUUGGAUCAGAGAUCAAGUUGCUCGGGUUAUCUGAACAAUUUAGGGAGAAAUUUUUUGAACAUGUUAUACUUAUUGAAUCUUGAUAUGGGUUAAUGAGGGAAUGUAAAUGACUACAGAGUUUGAUGGUGGUACGAAUUUGUUCCUUUUGACAAAAAUGUGGGUGGUGGGUCAAAACGGGUCAGUUAAAAAUGGCUGUUUUGUUUCAGGUUGAAACGGACCCGGGUCAGAACAGGUUUCGGGUUGGGCUGUUUAAAAGAUGUUAAAAAAAGAGAUUACACAGUUAA
rnacentral:lncRNA from 1 species